UGGGGAAUUUUGGACAAUGGGCGAAAGCCUGAUCCAGCAAUGCCGCGUGUGUGAAGAAGGCCUUCGGGUUGUAAAGCACUUUUGUCCGGAAAGAAAUCCUUGGCUCUAAUACAGUCGGGGGAUGACGGUACCGGAAGAAUAAGCACCGGCUAACUACGUGCCAGCAGCCGCGGUAAUACGUAGGGUGCAAGCGUUAAUCGGAAUUACUGGGCGUAAAGCGUGCGCAGGCGGUUUGCUAAGACCGAUGUGAAAUCCCCGGGCUCAACCUGGGAACUGCAUUGGUGACUGGCAGGCUAGAGUAUGGCAGAGGGGGGUAGAAUUCCACGUGUAGCAGUGAAAUGCGUAGAGAUGUGGAGGAAUACCGAUGGCGAAGGCAGCCCCCUGGGCCAAUACUGACGCUCAUGCACGAAAGCGUGGGGAGCAAACAGGAUUAGAUACCCUGGUAGUCCACGCCCUAAAUGAUGUCAACUNGUUGUUGGGGAUUCAUUUCCUAGUAACGUAGCUAACGCGUGAAGUUGACCGCCUGGGGAGUACGGUCGCAA
rnacentral:rRNA from 1 species